UGCCAGACUCCUACGGGAGCAGCAGUGAGGAAUAUUGGUCAAUGGGCGGGAGCCUGAACCAGCCAAGUCGCGUGAGGGAAGACGGUCCUAUGGAUUGUAAACCUCUUUAGGCGGGGAGCAAUGCCGGGCACGCGUGCCCGGAGGGAGAGUACCCGCAGAAUAAGCAUCGGCUAACUCCGUGCCAGCAGCCGCGGUAAUACGGAGGAUGCGAGCGUUAUCCGGAUUUAUUGGGUUUAAAGGGUGCGUAGGUUGUUUUUUAAGUCAGCGGUGAAAGUUUGUGGCUCAACCAUAAAAUUGCCGUUGAAACUGGAAGACUUGAGUGUGUUUGAGGUAGGCGGAAUGCGUGGUGUAGCGGUGAAAUGCAUAGAUAUCACGCAGAACUCCGAUUGCGAAGGCAGCUUACUAAGCCAUAACUGACACUGAAGCACGAAAGCGUGGGGAUCAAACAGGAUUAGAUACCCGGGUAAC
rnacentral:rRNA from 1 species